rnacentral:rRNA from 1 species
UACGUAGGGUGCGAGCGUUACUCGGAAUUACUGGGCGUAAAGCGUGCGCAGGCGGUUUUGCAAGCCGGAUGUGAAAUCCCCGGGCUCAACCUGGGAAUGGCAUUCGGGACUGCAAGGCUGGAGUGCGGCAGAGGAGACUGGAAUUCCUGGUGUAGCAGUGAAAUGCGUAGAUAUCAGGAGGAAUACCGAUGGCGAAGGCAGGUCUCUGGGCUGACACUGACGCUCAUGCACGAAAGCGUGGGGAGCAAACAGG